rnacentral:rRNA from 1 species
UAGAGUUUGAUCCUGGCUCAGGACGAACGCUGGCGGCGUGCCUAAUACAUGCAAGUCGAGCGGACAGAAGGGAGCUUGCUCCCGGAUGUUAGCGGCGGACGGGUGAGUAACACGUGGGUAACCUGCCUGUAAGACUGGGAUAACUCCGGGAAACCGGAGCUAAUACCGGAUAGUUCCUUGAACCGCAUGGUUCAAGGAUGAAAGACGGUUUCGGCUGUCACUUACAGAUGGACCCGCGGCGCAUUAGCUAGUUGGUGAGGUAACGGCUCACCAAGGCGACGAUGCGUAGCCGACCUGAGAGGGUGAUCGGCCACACUGGGACUGAGACACGGCCCAGACUCCUACGGGAGGCAGCAGUAGGGAAUCUUCCGCAAUGGACGAAAGUCUGACGGAGCAACGCCGCGUGAGUGAUGAAGGUUUUCGGAUCGUAAAGCUCUGUUGUUAGGGAAGAACAAGUGCAAGAGUAACUGC